AGAGUUUGAUCAUGGCUCAGAGUGAACGCUGGCGGCAGGCCUAAUACAUGCAAGUCGAACGGCAGCACAGCAGAGCUUGCUCUGUGGGUGGCGAGUGGCGGACGGGUGAGGAAUACAUGGGAAUCUGCCCAGUCGUGGGGGAUAACGUAGGGAAACUUACGCUAAUACCGCAUGCGCCCUUCGGGGGAAAGCCGGGGACCGUAAGGCCUGGCGCGAUUGGAUGAGCCCAUGUCGGAUUAGCUAGUUGGCGGGUAAAGGCCCACCAAGGCGACGAUCCGUAGCUGGUCUGAGAGGAUGAUCAGCCACACUGGAACUGAGACACGGUCCAGACUCCUACGGGAGGCAGCAGUAGGGAAUAUUGGACAAUGGGCGCAAGCCUGAUCCAGCCAUGCCGCGUGAGUGAAGAAGGCCCUCGGGUUGUAAAGCUCUUUUGUCCGGAAAGAAAAGCGCCGGGUUAAUACCCUGGUGUCCUGACGGUACCGGAAGAAUAAGCACCGGCUAACUUCGUG
rnacentral:rRNA from 1 species